rnacentral:lncRNA from 1 species
UGCAGAAGUGCCGAGUCCCGGCCGGGGGCAGCCUCGCCGCCGCUCAGCUCGGGAAUCCCUGCCCCCCACCAGCACCUCAGUGGGGGAUACUGCAAGUUCAACCGGCCUCCUCCGAAGGGAACCCCUGCACCCCAGCGGGGUCAGCACAAGAAUUGGGGCCAGGAUCAGGUGGUGACAGAGCCACCUGGGUUUCCGGAGACUCUCAAGCCAACCCCAAGUCAUGACAAAUGCCAGUCGCCUUGGACAGAGGCAAGGGCCUGGACGCAGAGACCAGAGGCCUGAACUGGCAGACUGUCCUCACAGGCUGUGUGACGCUGGCUGGUCGUCCCAUCUCUCUGGGGCCCCACAGGACUGGGGACCAGGUCGUGGAAUGACAGUGGACCACAGUGGUCCGGGGACCCCGCUCGUUGGUGGCAGGCACAGGCCCGUGUGAUGGGGACAAUGAGCUUUGCACCAGCCUCACAGUAACAGCCGGCACACAGCACUUAGGCUGCCUGGUGUUCCAGAAGCUUCUGCAGGGGCUCUAUGCUGCACUCAAGGCAUCCCUAAGAGGAGAGCAUUUUGCUGUCCCCACUUUACGGAGAAGGAACGUGGGCUCAGGGUGGUUUAAGGCGUGAAUGAAUGAAGGAGCAAGCAGUAAGCCCCGACAGCAAGGCCACCACAGCCCUCGCCCCACAGGGACGCCUGAGCAAGGACCCAAGCAGGGGACAAGCAGGCUCACCCCGCCCUUGCGGGGCUGACCACGAGGCCCCGUCCGGUGGAACACGCCAUGACGCUUCAGGAGGCUCAUGUAGCUGGCGCCGUAUGGGACAGCGGGGGAGAGAGAAAAUGCACAGCCCAGGGAAUGUGGAGACAGGCCCAGCGCCAGGCAUGGGGGCCGGAAGGAGCAGCCGGGGAGCAGGGGGCAGGGCCUGGAGUCCCGCCUUGCAGAUCUGAACCUGCCCCAGCCCCAGGACUCUGAGUGCAGCAAGAGGGGAGCCGGGCUGGAGAGUGGGGAGCACGGAGACUGUGGCCUGGAUGGUGCCAGAGCAAACAGGAGAGAGGCUGCCCAACGCAGAGGCUGCAGCACAGACCAGAGGGUCCCGGGGCUGACUGGGUGGGGGCAGCUCCCAGCGAGAGGCCCCUGGGAUUUGGGUAAGUAGAGGCACAUGCAGACUCUGGCCACAGGGCACCUCGCGCACGAGGGGAGUUCACCACACAAGCUGAGCGGAGGGCGGACGCAGGAGAGCAGCGGUUUCUCGGAAGCCAAGGGCGGUCAUGGAGCCCCACGCCACAGCGCUUCCCACGGGGCCACACCAUCCGGUCUGCGGAGGGGGCUGCAUUGCCGGGAAGGACCAUCUGAUUCUGGAUUCCAGCCUCACCCUGGGCCACCGCUGAGUGUCCCAAGUGGCCCCUUAGCCCCCAGGGCCAGGCGGCAUCCCAAUCCCCUAGGGAUGUCUGUGCUCAGAAUGUGGCACACACGCCCCGGCAGGGCCAUCCUCCUCCUCCUGCACCCGCCACAGCCGUGGAUUCGGGGUCUCUAUCGUGGGCAGAAAUUCACACAGUCAAGGUGAGGGUCCCAGGAGCAGCUGUGACCAGGCCCCGGCUGCCAGGGAGAGGGGGUCUUCAGCCGACGGGGCAGACACCCUGAGAUGGACCCUUGUCCAGGGGAGGGCCCUGCCACCCACAAUUCCUUGGCAUUCCUGCACCAGCAGGACGGGCUGAGGGAGGCGCCUCACCAGUGCCAGCGCCCAGCAUCACUGUGCCCCGGUGGAGGGGGAGGCCCUUCCGAGCCUGGGCCUGGGUGUGGAUGAGGGCAGGUCUCUCACCUCUCUGACCUCAGCUUCCUCAACUGGGAAGGGGGGCCACAGCACCCCCUUAGGGGUGAUGAGGAAGUGGGAGCUCAGGGAGGACCCCGGGCAGGGCUGCCUCCUCACCUCUCUUCGGCCUUUGGACACUGGAGCUCAGAGGACCAAGUGAAUGAAUGAAUGACUCGAUCAAUCAACUGAUCCAUGAAUCCAUGGACCCCUGAACAGCUGGACAGCUGGGCUGUGGGCAGGACAGGGGACUCUGGCUGAAGCCGCGUUCAUAUGUGUUCAGCUUUGUGAGUGGGGCGAGGUUGAGGGCUUAUUCAGUGGGGGAGGUGCACGGCAGGGCCAGUACCCUUGGAGGGUCAGGCCACAGGGGCGGGGACACCUGCCAGGAUGCCCAACCCCAGAGGCAGUGGGAGCUGUUGGGGAGCCGUGGUCCCAGUCAGCGGUGGCUUGAUGAGGGCUGCUCCCACUUCAUCCGCAGGAUUCCAGCCGCAGCUACCCCACACCCGAGCUGUCCCUAGUCGCCCACCGCGGCCGGACAAAGCCCCAGCAGCCAAGGUGCUCCGUGGGGAGGGUUUCUUGGGUUUCUUGAAGCCAGUAUUUCCCAUAGUAUCUUACGUCCCAGCAGAGGCCUCCACUGUGCCCGGACCAGCGGCCCACUCAGUGAGUCGAGUGUGCACCUGGCACCCCUCUUUCUGGAAAUCCACGAACAAUGGGCUCCCAGCAGAGGACUGAGGCUGAGCAGGCCACUUCCCUGGAGCUGACCCCACAGCUGUGUAGGUACAGGGUGGCCGUGAACACUUAGGGCUCUCUCGGGCUGUGCGCUUCUUGUUCACUGCAAGGAGCAGGGUGUUGGCUCCUGACCAAGCCCUGUCACUGCUGCCCAGCCACACGUGGGGCCCCUUCACCCACCCCUGACCACCUCAUGCAGGUGAAGCCACUGUGGAAACAGCCUGGCAGUCCCUUGAAAAAUGAAGUCAUAAACCCCAGCAAUUGCACUCCUGGGCCUCUGACAGAGCUUGCACGUCCCCUCCAAAGCUCGUGUUAAGCUGUGAGCCCCAGUGCCGGAGGUGGGGCCUGGUGUGUUUGGGUUCUGGGGGUGGAUCCCUCAUGGCUGGGUGCCAUGAACCCACUCACCACAGUGAGUUCUCACGAGAUCUGGUUGUUGAGAAGUGUGUCAUACCUCCCCCACAACUCUCUGUCUUUUGUUCCGGCUCUGGCAAUGUAACAAGCCUGCUCCUCCUUCGCCUUCUGCCAUGACUGUAAGCUUUCUGAGGGCUGACCAGAAGCCCAGCAGAUGCCAGCACCAUGCUUCCUAUACAGCCUGCAGAACCGUGAGCCAGCUAAACCUCUCCUCAUAAAUCACCGAGCCCCAGGUUUAUCUUUACAGCAAUGCAAGACCUGACUAAUACAGCACCAGCUCCCCAAAAUAAAAAGAAAUAUUCAAACAAAUAAGCGCACAGAAGUGUUCCCAGCAGCACUAUUCACAGCAGCCAAAAGGCGGAGGAGCCACAGGCUUGUCAGCUGAUGACAGAUAAAGAAAGCAUGGCCUGUCAUCCCAGCACUUUGGGAGGCCGAGGUGGGUGGAUCACCUGAGGUUGGGAGUUCAAGACCAGCCUGGCCAACAUGGUGAAACCCAGUCUCUACUAAAA